rnacentral:rRNA from 1 species
GACGAACGCUGGCGGCGUGCCUAAUACAUGCAAGUUGAGCGCUGAAGGUUGGUACUUGUACCAACUGGAUGAGCAGCGAACGGGUGAGUAACGCGUGGGGAAUCUGCCUUUGAGCGGGGGACAACAUUUGGAAACGAAUGCUAAUACCGCAUAAAAACUUUAAACACAAGUUUUAAGUUUGAAAGAUGCAAUUGCAUCACUCGAAGAUGAUCCCGCGUUGUAUUAGCUAGUUGGUGAGGUAAAGGCUCACCAAGGCGAUGAUACAUAGCCGACCUGAGAGGGUGAUCGGCCGCAUUGGGACUGAGACACGGCCCAAACUCCUACGGGAGGCAGCAGUAGGGAAUCUUCGGCAAUGGACGAAAGUCUGACCGAGCAACGCCGCGUGAGUGAAGAAGGUUUUCGGAUCGUAAAACUCUGUUGGUAGAGAAGAACGUUGGUGAGAGUGGAAAGCUCAUCAAGUGACGGUAACUACCCAGAAAGGGACGGCUAACUACGUG